GAUCAUGUGGCAGUUUCAUU
rnacentral:miRNA from 1 species